CGCUGGCGGCGUGCCUAAUACAUGCAAGUCGAACGCUUCCUCCCGGUGCUUGCACCGGGAAAGAAGAGUGGCGGACGGGUGAGUAACACGUGGGUAACCUACCUACAAGCGGGGGGAUAACAUUCGGAAACGGAUGCUAAUACCGCAUAGAUCUUUUUGUCUCCUGGCAGAAAGAAGAAAGACGGUUUCGGCUGUCACUUGUAGAUGGACCCGCGGCGCAUUAGUUAGUUGGUGAGGUAAUGGCUCACCAAGACGAUGAUGCGUAGCCGACCUGAGAGGGUGAUCGGCCACACUGGGACUGAGACACGGCCCAGACUCCUACGGGAGGCAGCAGUAGGGAAUCUUCCGCAAUGGACGAAAGUCUGACGGAGCAACGCCGCGUGAGUGAAGAAAAGGUUUUCGGAUCGUAAAACUCUGUUGUUAGAGAAGAACAAGGAUGAGAGUAACUGCUCAUCCCUUGACGGUAUCUAACCAGAAAGCCAUGGCUAACUACGUGCCAGCCGCCGC
rnacentral:rRNA from 1 species